rnacentral:rRNA from 1 species
UACGUAGGGGGCGAGCGUUGUCCGAAGUUACUGGGCGUAAAGCGCGCGUAGGCGGUUUCUUAAGUCUGGUGUGAAAGGUUCAGGGCUCAACCCGAACAGUGCACUGGAUACUGGGAGACUUGAGUAUGGGAGAGGAGAGCGGAAUUCCUGGUGUAGCGGUGAAAUGCGUAGAUAUCAGGAGGAACACCGAUGGCGAAGGCAGCUCUCUGGCCUGUAACUGACGCUGAGGUGCGAAAGCGUGGGGAGCGAACAGG